AGCGAACGCUGGCGGCGUGCUUAACACAUGCAAGUCGAGCGAGAAAGUCCCGCAAGGGAUGAGUACAGCGGCGAACGGGUGCGUAACACGUGGGCAAUCUGUCCUUGAGACCGGAAUAACCCAGCGAAAGUUGGGCUAAUGCCGGAUAAGACCACGAGCAGACAUGUUUGCGGUCAAAGGGCGCUUCUUCUAGGAGCAUUCACUCACGGAGGAGCCCGCGGCCUAUCAGCUAGUUGGUAGGGUAACGGCCUACCAAGGCAAAGACGGGUAGGCUGGUCUGAGAGGAUGACCAGCCACACGGGGACUGAGACACGGCCC
rnacentral:rRNA from 1 species